AACAAUAAAAGAUAGAUAAAAUUGGCCGCUGGAAGCAACACAACAAAAGCGGCGUUUUCGCUGCUUCACUGCCGGUGCAUCCUCUUAGCAAAUAUUUGUGCCGAAGUACGCGUCAAACGGCUUUUCAAGAGCACACACUUAUUUGUAUAAUUGAUAUAUUCGCCCCAAGGUGAAUAGUCCAAUUAUUUUCAGCACUCUCGCGCGUGAAACGUCAUUUCCCAUUCUUGAGAGCGAUACAAGAAGUGCUGGUGACCCUUAUUACGAUAUAAGAGAAGAUGAUUGACAACCUUCAACGUCAUCAAUCUAAUCACACUCUGUUUUCUGCAGUUUUAAUAUUUUAUGGACGGAGCCGCUCACAACAACGCACCUGAAGCUGAUGCAGAAGGUCAACAACGUCAGAAAGACGUUCGCCCUUUAGUUUAGCAUGUUUGCUUGCCAAUGACGGUUUUGUAUAAAAUUAAUUUGUUAUAAAUAUUAAUGAAGCUUGAAAAACUUAUAUUCUAGUCCUUAAUUUUUUUCCUAAAGCUCUACGAAAUUUUAAAUUUCAAUCAGCGUCAACUUAACUCCCCCUGAUUCUGAUAAAAUUUGUUUGAAAUUAUUAAAAAAUUUAAACCCAAUUCCAUUUAAUUUUCUAUUUAAUUCUAAUUCCCAUCAAAAAAGAAAAACCUUCCUCAUUAACAGUUUCUCACUUAAUCAAUACACCGAAAAUGUAGUUUAUUUAGAGCAUUUUUAAUUAAGAAUUAAAAAAUAGGGUCUGUUCAGUUUUGCAUGAUCUACUAGGGACCGCAUGAUUGAUGAGAUGUGACCAUUAAAUAUAGAUUUUUUUAAUGGUUAAGAAUGGGGAAUUAUUGCAAAAGCUUUAAAUAAAAAAAUCAUGAUUUCAUAUCAACCUGAAAUUCUUUGUUAAUGAUUAGUUUUAACAGUCAAGUAUAGUGUUAAUGUGUGUUGUCGCCAAACGAUUUACACUUUCUUUUUGAUAUCAUUAUAAUACAUAACAAAUUUUUAAAGAAUUAACCAUAUUUUUAUCCAUUCUAGAGAGACAACAAUCACAAGGAAAAAUGAGAGAAAUAUCUCAUUUUGCCAUUGUUGUUUAAAUUAAACUUAUUUUCUGAUUCAAUUUGGAUGCGAAAAUUUUCAAAUGACCUGGGUCUAUUUAUGGAGCACCUCUCCUGUUCUUUUCUGGUUGGUUUUGUAAACAAAAAUGCAGGAGCUGCUGGAAUCUAGAAGCCCGAUAUUUAGCCCGAGCCUCUUUGUGUUUCGCGUCUGGAAUCCAGCUGGGUCUGGCGACACCGAUUUCUUCUUUCCGUCCCAUUACCCCGCUCCUGAAGGGCGAGGAGAGUUCCUCCGAAUCGGAUCUGGCGACGCUCCUCGCUACCCUGACUGGGUCUACCGACACGUGGUUCUGCCUCGGCUGCUCUUCGAGGAGCACCAACGCAUCGCAGCUCGGGCCGAUGCACAAUUUAGUUCGUCAGCAGCGAAUCAGGUUCCGUUUGAGACCCACCUGGACACUCGACGAUUCGACCAGCCAUACGACUUUGAAUGGUGGCUGGACAGUGAGGCCGAGGAGGAAUUGGAAGCAGAGGAAGCGGGAGGCGAGCAGAUAACUGCAAGAAAGCCGAAAUGGAAAAGCCGUUUGCAAAGGUUGUUACGUGCCCUCCACACGAAUCGUUCUGGCUCUUAAAUUUUAGCUAAUUUCUGUCAAAUUUCAAAAGGAGCACUGGAAUAAAUUACUGAGUUGAUUUUGUUAA